GCCGAGCUCAGUAACGUAGGCUUAUCACCCAAGUGGGGGCAGUGAUUGGACAUGUGGUUGACUGUCUAGCUGGAUCGGUGGUUGUAAUUAACCGGCUUGCCCGUUCCAAGUGGUGAGUUGGGCCAUGUGACUCGGGCGAAGGCUUGAGCCACAUGGCUCGUAGAGUGGAGGGUAACGCGCCAGGCUGGUUUGACAGAGCAGCGAAAACUUCCCGCUCUCUACAGUGGAAGGAUAACGAACCGGUGCUUCUUCGGUCCACUUAAGCUAAAUGGUCUAGCCACUAUUGAACAAUCACUUUU
rnacentral:SRP_RNA from 1 species